UACGAAGGGUGCAGGCGUUACUCGGAAUUACUGGGCGUAAAGCGUGCGUAGGUGGUUCGUUAAGUCCGAUGUGAAAGCCCUGGGCUCAACCUGGGAAUGGCAUUGGAUACUGGCGGGCUAGAGUGCGGUAGAGGAUGGCGGAAUUCCCGGUGUAGCAGUGAAAUGCGUAGAGAUCGGGAGGAACAUCCGUGGCGAAGGCGGCCAUCUGGACCAGCACUGACACUGAGGCACGAAAGCGUGGGGAGCAAACAGG
rnacentral:rRNA from 1 species